rnacentral:rRNA from 1 species
CCUACGGGAGGCAGCAGUAGGGAAUCUUCCACAAUGGACGAAAGUCUGAUGGAGCAACGCCGCGUGAGUGAAGAAGGGUUUCGGCGCGGUAAGCUCUGUUGGUAGUGAAGUAAGAUAGAGGUAGUAACUGGCCUUUAUUUGACGGUAAUUACUUAGAAAGUCACGGCUAACUACGUGCCAGCAGCCGCGGUAAUACGUAGGGGGCAAGCGUUGGUCGGAUUUAUUGGGCGUAAAGCGAGUGCAGGCGGUUCAAUAAGGCUGAUGUGAAAGCGUUCGGCUCAACCGGGGAAUUGCAUCAGAAACUGGUGAACUUGAGUUGAGUUGCGGAGAGUGGAACUCCAUGUGUAGCGGUGGAAUGCGUAGAUAU